CAAAAAUCUGGCCCUACACUCUUGGUAAAUCUUCAUUGUUUCAAAUUAUUCUAGUGAGCCACAAGAUGUAACAAACUGCUUAACCAGCCUGAUUUGUAACUAAGUAACAGUGCUUUAUUGAUAGAAAUUGAAAGGAAGUACAUGCUGAAGGACCAAAUGUCAGGAUGUCUGCAACGUGCAUGCAGCAAGGCAGCAAAGAAACAGAGGGAGAGGAGAAGAGAGGGGAGUAGCUGACGAAUUCCAUCAGAAGUCAGUCACUUAAGGGCACAGCUUACAAACUCAAAUGUCUACAGGAACGGGACAGAUAAUAAAAGUGAGAAAAGAGAGCCAGCUUCAGAACAACAGGGAGUGGUGUGGCUGUGGCAAACUCAAGAAUGCCUGCCAGCCUAAAGCGGCAACAUCUACUCAACCCCAGCCAAGUGGAGCCACACAGAAAUUAAGAGAAAAGAAAAAUACUACAUUUUGUAAAAGAAGCCAAACACUCAAAAUUUAUGUGAAAUCUCCCCUAGUUUUAAAACACUGCAGGCCAAAAUAAAACAUCUGCAAACAAGCUCUACCUUGUGUUUCCUGUUAAAAUACAAAUACUCCUGGAAGAGUCAGUUACCGAC